CUUGCUUCUCUUGAGAGCGGCGGACGGGUGAGUAAUGCCUAGGAAUCUGCCUGGUAGUGGGGGAUAACGUUCGGAAACGGACGCUAAUACCGCAUACGUCCUACGGGAGAAAGCAGGGGACCUUCGGGCCUUGCGCUAUCAGAUGAGCCUAGGUCGGAUUAGCUAGUUGGUGGGGUAAUGGCUCACCAAGGCGACGAUCCGUAACUGGUCUGAGAGGAUGAUCAGUCACACUGGAACUGAGACACGGUCCAGACUCCUACGGGAGGCAGCAGUGGGGAAUAUUGGACAAUGGGCGAAAGCCUGAUCCAGCCAUGCCGCGUGUGUGAAGAAGGUCUUCGGAUUGUAAAGCACUUUAAGUUGGGAGGAAGGGUUGUAGAUUAAUACUCUGCAAUUUUGACGUUACCGACAGAAUAAGCACCGGCUAACUCUGUGCCAGCAGCCGCGGUAAUACAGAGGGUGCAAGCGUUAAUCGGAAUUACUGGGCGUAAAGCGCGCGUAGGUGGUUUGUUAAGUUGGAUGUGAAAUCCCCGGGCUCAACCUGGGAACUGCAUUCAAAAACUGACUGACUAGAGUAUGGUAGAGGGUGGUGGAAUUUCCUGUGUAGCGGUGAAAAUGC
rnacentral:rRNA from 1 species